UAAUAUUGGAUUUUAGCGGGAAAAGGAGAGAACUGGUGAAAACUAAAAGUAAAAAAAAAAGGAAAUUAAGCUCCAAAAUUUCACUCCAAAUUGUCUUUCGCCCUAAAUCUCUCAAAUACUUUCAACCUAAAAUCCCUUAGACACUGCUGAACUCCUUCAAAAUUCAAAAUCCCUAAGAGACGCCGCUGAACUCCUUCAAAAUUCAGAAGGUCAAACACUCUAAGAAGGUUGCAAAGAGCGAGCGAGGCGACCGCUAAACUUCGGCAUUCAGAACUCUGUUCAAUUUCUUCUUUAGAGGCCGCUAAACCUCCAAAUUACUUUACACAAAAUUAUGUUGGAUUAUCCGCUAAACAAGAAUAAGUUCAAUUUUUUCUCUUUGAUAUGUUUUCUUCUUCUUCUUUGUGUUUUUUCCCCUUUGAAUCAUCGCAAAUAGUGUUCUUCAAUUUUUUGUUUCUUUAUUUGCUUUCUGCAACUUAGAAUUCUAUAUAUGGAGAUUAAAAAUUUGGGUUCUUCAAGUUCUCCAAUUUUAAUCAGAAAUCGCAAAAGGUUUCUUCAAUUUUUUUCUCUUUUAUUUUUUUCUAUAUGUAGAAAUCUCUGUUACUAAUUGACCUUUUAUGUUUUCCUUUUUAUACAGUUUUGUUUAUUGAAAAUGUAGAAUGAAGCUAAGUCAAAGUAGUUACGUUUAUAAUGAUUAUAAAAUAAAUAUUUACAGCACAAAAAGCAUAAUUCUCAUUAAGAAAUCAUGUCUGAAAAGUCAGAUAGUUCCUGUAACAGCAAGAUGCUCUAUAAAGCUUGACGUUGGGAUUUUUGAUAAUAUUACAUUUUGUACAUUUGGUGUUUAUUAAAACUCUAACCUAACACUGUUGUGAAAAAAUCUUUUAGUUCCAUUUUGCAGCUUAUUGGUUGUUUUGAAUAGUGAUCUUUCUUGUGUGAGUGAUAAAAGUGAGAUUAUUGGGUUUAAAAUUGAGUGAUCUUAUUGUGUGAGGAGAAAUUUAUACAAAAUAGGGGCUGUUUGGUUGCUCGUAAAAUCAUCAGAGAAUGUCAUGCAACCCAGAACUGAAAUUCCACCAAAAAUGGGUAUUGGUUGCUCGUAUUAGGACUGCAAAAGAAUAUAGGUUGAGC
rnacentral:lncRNA from 1 species